GGCGGGUCUCCCCGCAUCGUGGAGUGGUGAACCGGGUCAGGUCCGGAAGGAAGCAGCCACAGCCAAUUUCUGCGAGUGCCGGGGGUCAGGCUCGCCGCC
rnacentral:SRP_RNA from 1 species